AUUGAACGCUAGCGGGAUGCCUAACACAUGCAAGUCGAACGAGUGGCGGACGGGUGAGUAAUGUCUGGGAAACUGCCUGAUGGCGGGGGAUAACUACUGGAAACGGUGGCUAAUACCGCAUACCAUCGGAUGUGCCCAUAUGGGAUUAGCUAGUUGGUGGGGUAAAGGCUCACCAAGGCAACGAUCCGUAGCUGGUCUGAGAGGACGACCAGCCACACGGGAACGGAGACACGGUCCAGACUCCUACGGGAGGCAGCAGUGGGGAAUAUUGAACAAGGGGGGAAAGCCUGAUGCAGCCAUGCCGCGUGUAUGAAGAAGGCCUUCGGGUUGUAAAGUACUUUCAGCGGGGAGGCGUUACCCGCAGAAUAAGCACCGGCUAACUACGUGCCAGCAGCCGCGGUAAUUC
rnacentral:rRNA from 1 species